GACAGAGACUAGGUUAGUAGUCAUGAGGGUUGGGGAUGGAAAGGUGAGGAGGGUGGGACUACACGGGGACAGCAGGAGGGAGUCUCUGUGGUGGCAGAUGGGCUCUGUGUCUUGGUCAGUGCUGGUCACAUGAAUCCACGUGGGAUAAGAUGACACAGAGCCAUGAGCACACAGCACACCAGUGUCAGCAGCCUCUUGGUUUGGACAUUGUCCUGUAAUUAGGUAAGAUACAAGCAUGAUGGGAAAUUGGGUAAAGGGUGUAGAGGACAUCUCUGUACUAUUUUUGCGACUUCUUGUGAAUCUGUAUCUCAAAAUAGAAUUCUUUUUUUUUUUAAUUUUUUUUUAACGUUUAUUUAUUUUUGAGACAGAGAAAGACAGAGCAUGAAUGGGGGAGGGUGAGAGAGAGAGGGAGACACAGAAUCCGAAACAGGCUGCAGGCUCCAAGCCGUCAGCACAGAGCCCGACGCGGGGCUCGAACUCACGGACCGCGAGAUCACGACCUGAGCCGAAGCCUGACGCUCAACCGACUGAGCCACCCAGGCGCCCCUCAAAAUAGAAUUCUGAAAUAUGGCGGAAAACAAUAAAACUCUUGAAUGACAAACAACGAUCAGCGAGGUUUUCCGGUGUUUGAAAAAGCCCCGGGCGUUUUAUACUCCAUCGGAAGAUACGUAUUCCUCCCAAUUUCUGCUUUCUUCUAUUCUCCUCCACAUGAAUCUAACGUAACAUACGUGAUAUAUUUUCAAGCUAUUGUUUUUGGAGGCUUAUGAGGCCCUUUGCAGUUUUUCUGAAGAUCCUAGUGGGAAAUCACACGUUGUUUCAGAAGCUCUUCUGCAGCCUGCAGAAGGAGAGAAAGAAAGACCUCCUCCACCAGGAAGCCACUGGGAGCUUUCUCCCCUCGCGCACACUUUACUGUCUCGAUUACCUCACAAUUCAAACGUUUGGUGCCCAUCGGUUUUCUUUUCAUUGUAAGGAUUUAUUAUUUAGAAUAGUCACACGUUAGUUAUUUAAGAAAAUCAAAACAGCGCCAACGUAAGCAGAGGAACAAGUGAAACUUUCCAUCUGCCCCACACUGUCCUGCUCCUACCUCUGAGACACUCCAUCUGGCUUAGUUUCCUGUCACUGCUCUAACAAACUACCAAAGACUCAGUGGCCUAAACAACACAAAUUUAUUACCUCACCAUCCUGGAAGUCAGAAGUCUCGCUGGGCCAAAAUCAAAGUGUCUACAGGGCUGGUUCCUUCUGGAGGCUCCAGGGGAGAAUCCAUUUACCUGCCUUUUCCGGCUCCCCAGGGUGCCCACACCCUUGGCUGGUGCCCCCGUCCAGCAAGCCCAUCACCCUGACCUCUGCUCUGUCCUCUCAUCUCCUCUGGCUGACCGUCCUCCCUCCCUCUCUAAGGACGCCGGUGAUUACGCUGGGCCACUCGGAUAAUCCAGGAUACUCCCCCCGUCUCGAGAUCUCUAACCACACCUGCAAAGUCACUUUUGCCAGGUAAGGUAACAUAUUCACAGGUUCUUGGGAUUAGGACGUGGACACCUUUGCGGGGAGGGCCACUAAUCCGUGUGCCACACUGUGUAGCAUUGUUCUGUUUUUGAAAGAGAUCAUAUUACCCCCUCAGCCCCCAACAGCUUUGUUUUUGUUUUUGUUUUUUUGUUUUGGUACCAAAAUGCAGCACGGACAUCUUCCAUGGCAGUACUUAGAAAUCUGCCACAUCAGUUGUAUUGGCUACUUAGGGUUUCGUUGUUUGGAUGGACCAUAAUUUAUCAGCUGUCUCCCUACUAUUUGAUGCCAAGGUCGAUGCCAUUUUGUUGUUACAGGUUCUGCUGCAAGAGCAUUCUCACACACAGGGAUGAGUUCUUUCUGUGAUAUGGUGUGGCUGAGUUACAGGUCAGCAGGCUUACGUCCGAUAGGGUCAGUUCCUUGCUGUCCCCAGAGGAUAUCCGCCCUUUCCUUUGGGGUCAUCCUGGGGCUGCCGAGCCACAUAGAUGUUGGCCCCAGAGACUCUGGAAUGGGUCCAAGGAGAGCAUUCAUUAACACCAAAGGCAUUGUGCACCCAAGGCAGAAAAUUCACUCCUUUCUCCGUUUACCGUUCCAAAUAACGUCCAACCACAUUGUCCAUAGAAUUAACCAGAACUCAUGCAAUGAAGUGAUCACAUCAAGAUUUUCCACUAACAAAAUACGAAAAGAUUCCAGCAAAUAAAACUAGAAAGAAAUACACAGAAAAUUUUGUUGAGGUGGGGCGCCUGGGUGGCUCAGUUGGUUAAACAUCUGACUCUUGAUUUCGGCUCAGGUCAUGAUCUCCGGGUUCAUGAGUUCAAGCCCUGCGUUGGGCUCUGUGCCGACAACGCAGAGCCUACUGGGUAUUCUCUCUCUCCCUCUCUCUGCCUCUCCCCAGCUUGCAUGAGCAUGUGUGGCGCAUGCCCUCUCUCUCUCUCUCUCAAAUAAAUAAACUAAAAAAAAAAAAAGAAAAGAAAAUCUUGUUGCAGAAGUAGAGAUGGUCAGUAACUUCCCAGAUACUGGCAACAUUUCUCAGCCUGCAUGGUCUCCCCUGGGGUGCUUCCUUAGCCGUUAUUCUUUUCUUUUUUCAAAAAAAAUUUAAUGUGUAUUCACCUUUGAGAGACAGAGAGACAGAGCACAAGCAGGGUUGGUGCGGAGAGAGAGGGGGACACGGAAUCCAAAGCAGGUCCCAGACUGUCAGCACAGAGCCCGACGCGGGGCCUGGACUCAGGAACCGUGAGAUCACGACCUCGGCUGAAGUCAGAAGCUCAACCGACUGAGCCACCCAGGCUCCCCCUUAGGUAUCAUUCUUUAACAUGUAGAUAUAUAUACUCUCUGUGCACAUCAUGAUUUGAAUGAUAAAUUUCUCAGGAAAAGCUUCGUUGUCGUACGUCAGGCUGCUGUAACAGAUACCACAGACUGCGUGGCUUCCGAACCACAGAACUUUGUUUCUCGUGGUUCUGGAGGAUGGAUGCCCAGCCAGUUUGAUGUCUGAUAAGAACUGCUUCCUGGUUCACGGAUGGCACCUUCUCUUGCUCCCCCAAAGCAGGAGGGUGAGGGACUCUGUGGUGUCCCCUUUCUGAGGGCACUAAUCCUAUCAAUGAGGUUUCAGCUGUCCUGACUUAAUCACCCCCAAAGGCUUAACAGCGAGGGUUGGAUAUCAACAUAUGAAUUGUGCUGGGGGGGGGGGGGGGGCGGGGCAGUCCUGGACAUUAAUGGCAACAAUAAAAUGCCCUACAUUUGAAUAUACACUCCCCUUCCAUUAUAUUCUAGGGGAAGUAAAGUCCAAAAAUUAAAUUGCUUUGCAAGAGUAAAGUCCAAAGAAAUUAAAGUAUGCAAAAACUGACAGAAAAUGCCCGUGGUUAGCAGCAGAACAUGCGUUUUUCUCUGGUGCGUGUGGAACAUUCUCUGGACAGGCCAUUUGCUAGCCAUAAACAUAAUCUUGGUACAUUCAGAAGGACAGAAAUCAUUCAAAAUGUGUUCUCUGGCCACAGUGGAAUGACAUUAGAAAUCCUUAACAGAGAAGGGGCGCCUGGUGGGCUCAGUCAGUUGGGCAGCCAACUUCGGCUCAGGUCAUGAUCUCGCGGUUCACGGGUCCGAGCCCCGCGUCGGGCUCUGUGCUGACAGCUCAGGGCCCGGAGCCUGCUUUGGAUUCUAUGUCUCCCUCUCUCUCUGCACCUCCCCUGCUCACACUGUCUCUCUCUGUCUCUCAAAAAUAAACGUUAAAAAAAGAAAUCUUCGGCAGGGAAAAUUUGGGAAAGCCACAUAUGUGGAACUUCAACAACACAUUCUAAGUGGCUCCUGGCUCAGAGAAGUCAGAAGGGGAACCAGAAGGCCUGUGGGGAUGAAAGAAAAUCCAGAGUGUGCAGGGGACCACCGCAGGGGUGGAUGGCAUUGCCCACGCAGGUAGCUUAAGGUUUUAGGUUCGCAAACACGGGCCUCCUCUCUGCCGGCCUUCUGGAAUCCGUGCCCAGUGUGCUCAGUUCCCAUGGAGACCAGAACUGUGCCCUUUGUCUGCACCUCCAGAGGAAUGGGAGUUUGACCUGGGCCCGCUCUCCCUUUCGGAAAGCAGCACUCAGGACACAGGCCUCUUGCAAACGUCACAAAUCUGUGGCGGGGCCGGCCUGACUCGGGUGGCCUUUCUCUCCCGUCCCUUGUCUCUCUCCGCCUGAGCCUCGUCUCCCGCACCCGUGUCCCUGAGACUUGGGAGUUUUCGAGUUUGUGCCACAGCGGCGGCCUUGGGUCUUGCUUUCGCCUGUGGCCCGUCGACUAGGGAAGUCUCCGUCUAUCCCACAGUGGAUCCACCAGAGAUUCUGAGCUGAAGGUACUGGGAGGGCCGCCCUGGGAUGGCGGAGUUCCCUCUGGAGGUACCCUGCAGCCACUGUCCCUCCACACCUAACAUGUCCCCGCCUGGAAGUCCCCACCAGGACCCUCGAUCACACAUGACAUCUGCACCUGGGCAAACCCACCAUCAGCUGCGAUUACCCAGCAAGGCCAAAACUUCGCGUGGCCACGGUGCGCCCGGGUGACGCAGUAGGUUAAGCGUCUGACUCUUGAUCUCAGCUCGGGCCUUGAUCUCAGGGUCAUGAGUUCAAGACCUGCAUUGGGUUCCACGCUGGGAGGGAAGCCUACUUAAACAAACAAACGCGUCAUAAAAGCAACAACUUCGUGUGGCCCAGGACAGACAUCGCUUCCCCUGCUGCAGGAGAGAUGGCCACACAGCUGGCACGCGGUCAGCUGCCCGGGCCCUCAGCUGAGUGCCACCCUGCUGAAACCUGCGGUCGGCACCGUGCGACGCCACGUGCUCUAGGCAUAAAGUUACUCCCCAAAGCCCUGGCUCAUGCGUCUGGUCAUCAGCCGUGACUUUGUACCUUAAACGUAGCGACCAGGAAGUGAAUGCGCAAGAGGCUGGGGCGCACAGAACGGGAGGCAGGUCCUGUGCCGAGCGGGGCGGGAAGCAAAGCUUCUGAUUUCAUAACCGGGCUCUGCGUUCAUCUGCAUUUACCUUUCCUUCUCUUUAUCAGAAAGCUCUUUAACAUUACGGACUGUGAAUUAUUCAUGUAUUUGUUUCUGCUAAAACCUGGACUGCCCCCAAGGCAAAAUGGCCUGUCUCUCACGCUUUCCAGCUGCCUUGCAUAGAUGGCAGUGUUCUGCAGUAAAACGUUCGUGUUGUCACUGACGGGGCAAACGAUGUGCACAAAUAUCCAGGCACGCUUUCCGCUUUCAAAGGAAAAUAUAAUUUAACAUGUUUUCUUGUAGUAAAGCGUGGUUCAGAAGCUGACUUGGGUCUAGCCCCACCCACUGGGGUCCUGGUCCCGCCCACUUUGGGCCCCGGCCCCGCCCACCCGGGGGCCUGCCCCGACUCGCUUGGAUCCCAGCCCCCUCCAUCCAUAGCUGAGUGACUUUGGGUGAGUCCUGUGACUUCAUCAACUUCACCAGCCAAGCUGGUGAAAGGCCUCUGGGGCUGACGCUCAGGCCUGGCCCAGAUGGCUCUUGAGAUCUGUAUUUUGGUGAUUCGAGUAUAUUGAACAACCCUGGUUAUUGUAGACUAUUGUUAGUACUAAAUAUGUGUACUCCAAGGGCAUCUCACUAAAUCCGUAGGACAAAAAAGAAAGUUUAACAGUAAGCAAUAUCAAAAGGCCAAGUACUGAUAAUACACUGUUAACGUUUUCGUGGUACUAUUUUUAUGCAUCAUCAUCAUCAUCAUUUUAGUCAUUUAUGAAGGUUAGACGAUCCAGAGUGUGUUUGGUAGCCCGUCACCAUGUGGGAAACAGGAGGCCGCAACCGUGAAUGCUCCAAAUUGCCUUGGCCGAGCACCUUGUCCGGGCAAAGCUGAGCAAAAGUAUUACAUCUCCGAGUGCACUGUGUUUUGGAAAGAAACACAAACUUCUGUUCAAAGUCACCUACAAAUAACUAAGCGCUGGAGUGUAUAAACACAGCAGCAGAAAGUAAAAGCUAUUAUUUGUCGAACGUUCAGUCUCCGUCAGGCAUUACACCGUGUGCCAUGUGGAUCCUUCUACGAACGUACUUCUCACAGCAACCCUACGAGGUAAACGCUGUCAUCCACGUCUUACAAGUGCAGAAACUGGGGCUUGGAGACUCUGAUGGCACGGUUCACAGCUGGUCUGCACACAGCUGGGGUUCAGCUGUGUAGUCACCGUGUGACUUCAAAGUCCUGCGUUUUACCCCUAAGAUACAUUGCUUCAUAAUCUGCAGUCAGCCAGGGUUUCAUUUCUAGCAACAUUGAUGAGGCUUUGCCUCAGAUAUUUCCAUUAAAAUUUUUUGUUUACUCUGGGAAAAAAAUGCUGUAAAACACGCCGAUGUUGUAAAGACAAUAUUGUAAAGAGCACUUCACUUGAGUACUUUCCAAUAGUUGAACAUCGAGGCAGCACCUGCUGCAAAGAAUGAAGACAUUUCACUUGAAAUUACACUGGCACAAGACCAUCAAAGUCUCCUUAACAUUUUCAUUAAAUUGAGAUACAGAUAUAGUUAGAGUAGUAAAUCUCUUCUGAUACAAGGUGUUCAUUUAACAGCCAAGGCUCUAAGCAGCAGUGAGCCUGAAGGAAAAUCCAGAAACACGCAGGCCUUGUUCAGAGCUCUCCGUGUGCAGCCAGACCCCACAGCAGUCAGCUGUAACUCCAACAAGAUCUAAGCAGGUGAGUCCUCCAGCUACCAGAAAUGUCUGCAACAGCAUGCAAUGAGUGUUUGCAAGGGAUGGAAAGAACCAGGCUGGGUGUCUGGUCUAGCGGGCUUUAUCAUUCAGGUGUGGUGAGGCCAACAGACCAGGAGAAAACCGUCAAGUGAAAAGAUAGUGUACUAGAUCCCAAGAGGAGGGGGCUCAACACGCCAUGGGGGCCCCAUGAGAAGCACUAAAGCAAAUCAAGAGGUGUGGGGUGGGUGGGGGUGAGAGCUUUUACUGUGGUUUCUGCAGGAAGGAGUGGGCGAGGCAGGGUGCAUAGGCUUAGGAUCGGCUGGUUUGAGUGACAUAGGUGGGCUCUGAGAGGUAGGAGCUGCCCCCGGUUGUUGGGACCUUGCUCUGGGGUGGUUAGGGUAGGUGGGUGGUGGCCCAGAGUGUGAGGGCCCAGUAGAGCAGGUGAUAGGGGUAUGGGCUCCACACUGGUUGGUUUGCAUUUGUGAAAUGCGCUCACAGGUGGGCAAGUGUUCACUGUCGAUGAGGAGUGGCUAACCCUGGGAGGGCAGUCCUCCAGGGUCACGAGGCCCCAGAUGUCAAAGUAUCAGAACACAGAGGAUAAAAGAUACGGUUAAUACAGAGAACUGAGGCCUCUGGCCAACAACCAGAAGAGGGUGGCAUCUUGGAAAUGGCCCCUCCAGCCACGGUUGAGCCUUCAGAUGAGAACCAUCUUGACUGCAAGCUCCUAAGAGACCCUGAGGGAGAACCACCAGGCUAAGCCAUUCCCACAUUUCUGACUCGCAGACACCGAGAUACUAAAUGUUCAUCGUUUGAAGUCACUAGAUGUUGGGGUAAUUUGCCAGGCAGCAAUACGGCACUGGUACAGAUCUGGUCUGUGCAGCGUGAACAAGGCCAGGAUCGUGGGUCUGGCACCAGGCAAAGCUGUCAAGCUGGAUCCUAGCACUGCCAUUUACGGUACUCAGACCCUGAUACACAAGCUCUCCAGAGAAGAUUCCAGAGCCAAUUUCUAGUCAGUUCCAGAGGUUUCCAGAUGGAGGUGCUGGUGGGGCUGGAGGGCUGUGUGUCUGUGUCUGCUCUGCUACAAAGACAUUCACCUGGUUUGAAUUUUCUUAAAUGUUUAUUCUUGAGAGAGAGAGAGAGAGAGAGAGAGAACAAGCAGGGGAGGGGCAGAGAGAGAGGGAGACACAGAAUCCGAAGCAGGCUCCAGGCUCUGAGCUGUCAGCACAGAGCCCGACACGGGGCUCGAACUCACGAGCUGUGAGAUCAUGACCUGAGCCGAAGUCGGACGCUCAACUGACUGAGCCACCCAGGCGCCCCUGGUUUGAAGGCCAGCGACUGAGAAGGGGCCGUGGUGCCCACGGUGCCCUCUCAACCCAGGGGCUAAGUGAGAUGUAGCCACACCUCCAGGCCCGCGCAGGGCCCGGGGCCACCUUGGAGUCACGCGGGCACCCAAGACCUGAAGCCUUUUCUUUCAUGGGAGUCAUUUUCAGAACCGCCCCAGUCCUCCUCCACCCCCACUGGUCACAGCGGGGUCUGACAAAGGAGCAGUGGUGUGUUCGUGAACCCUCAUCUGUCACACUCAUGAAGCCACCCGAGGUCCCCCCGUGCCUGGCUGGGAGCGGGCGCGCGGAGAGAGAGUGCGACGCGAUGGGUUGGACCUACUGUAGCUUUUUAAAGUUCUACAGAAAAGACCACGUGGACAAGUCACGGUCACGGUUCGAACCACGCACCAAGCGCCCACACGCGCUGAGCGCUCAGGUUGCCGCGGGCACUCCGUCACCCCCUCUCUGUCAUUGUCUUCUCAGACACUCGAGAGUGGUUGGGGGUUUUCUUCCUGGCUCAGAAUCCAGGUGAGGAACAGACAGACAUCCCAUCGGGCUGCCGUGAAUCUUCAGUCUCAUUUUAUCACAAAGGCCGUUUCGAAAAGACGGAUCGGACAGCCGGCCAGAGUGCGGGAGGCCCUUCCAGAACCGCCGCGCGUGCCCGCCCGCGUGGUCUUUCCGGUCGCCUCACCUCCCCCACCCCCGUGCCGGACGCUGUUUGCUCGCAAGUCGAGACGUGGCUGCGUGUGCCUCGUGUUGAUGUGCUUUUUCCCUUCAAGUAGUGUCAGGGUCUGGAAGAAAAACUGUGCCUUUCUCCCGUGACAGUGUGUGUCCAGCACGAGCAGGGAAGGAAGCCGGCGGCCGAGUGGAGUCCUUCCUCCGGCCGUGGAAGAAGCAGCGCCCGCCUCCGUUCCCCACCCCCCGGAGGCUUUGGGGACCGCGAAGAAAACGCUUUUCAUCGUUCAGCUGUGGUUCUGCGCUUCGGGGGAGAAGACGUCCUAGAAGCCCCAUUCGAACCUGGCACCUCCCGGUUCCCGGGGCGUCGCCCAGAAAGCUGCCACCGCCGCGACCGGCCUUGCUCCCACCGUUGGGCGGAUCCGGCGUGACCUCCCACCCGCUCCCUCUCUGCUCGAGUCACACCUCCGCGGGGCCACCGGCAGGUGCGCCGUCCAUCCCGCGGUUCUCCCCCGUCGGCCCCUCGAGCCCCGUUUUGUGCCUGUCCUGGGGCGCGUGAGGUCGUCUGCCACAGAGCCUGGGGACUGUGGGUUCUCCUCAGCGGUGCCCUCUUUCAGGUGCACGGAGCCUCCCCCACCUCCGCGUCCCUGAAAAAUGUAGGAAAUGCUCUUGACCGGUUCACGAAGUAAGCCAGGGUCCUGCUCGAGGGAGCAACACGUUCCCAACCAGCGGACAACCGGGAGCCGAGCGUCCUUCCCAACAAGGGAUUCUAUCAGAAGUUCCUCCUGCCCUGACAACCUCAUUUAGAAGCAAGACAAACCUUAGCUACAAGCUAUUGAAUGUCACAGCACGACGCCUUUCAAGUUUGAGGGAGCCUUUGUAUCCUUGUGUUACGAACAGAAGUUAAUGCAGACCACUCCGUCUUCCAAAAAAUCUCAUCUCUCCUUCAGGACUUUGCCUCCAGGCAGGAGCUGGGGGCUGGCUAGUGGACUAAACCUAACCUGGUUCUGUAUUCGUGAGUUUUUCUAACAGUGGUAAAAUACCCACAACAUGAAAUUCACCAUUUUAACCAUUUUAUUUAUUUUAUUUUUUAAACACUGAUUUACUUAAGUGAUCUCUGCACCCGACGUGGGGCUCGAACUCAGGACCCCGAGAUCAAGGGUUGCUCGCCCUUCUGACUAAGCCAGCCAAGCGCCUUCCCCUUCAUUUUAACCAUUUUAAAGUGCGCAGUUCUGUGGCAUUAAGUACAUCCACACUGACGUGGAUCACAGCCAUCACUACCACACAUCUCCAGAGCGUUCCAUCUUCCUAAACUGAAACUCUGCCCCCGUGAAACACUGACUCCCAUCCCCUCCCACCCCCCGGUGCUCCCCCUCUACUCUGCUGCUACAAAUCUGACAGCUCCAGGACCUCAUGUAAGUGGGAUCGUGCAAUAUUUGUCCUCUGUGACUGUUGUAUUUCACUCGGCAUAACGUCCUCAGGGUUCACCUACGGCGUCACAGGUAUCAGGAUUUUUUUUUUUUUUUUAGUUUUGAAAAUUUGUUUUAAUGUUUAUUUCUUAGAGAGAGAGAGAGACAGAGCGUGAGCACAGGAGGGGCAGAGAGAGAGGGAGACACAGAAUCUGAAGCAGGCUCCAGGCUCCAAGCUGUCAGCACAGAGCCGGACACAGGGCUCGAACUCCCAAACCUCGAAAUCAUGACCUGAGCCGAAGUCAGACACCCAACCGACUGGGCCACCCAGGCGCCCUCGGAUUUCCUUUGUUUUUAAGGCUGGUCAUUUUCCAGCGUAUGGAUGUAUCCCAUUUAGUUCAUCCACUCUUCUGUUGGUGGACGCUGGGUUGCUUCCCUUUUUAGCCAUUGUGAAUUUAGCUCCUCUGCCUUCCGGCUGCUGUACUCGAUGCAGUUACGACCGUUGGUGUGCAAGUACGUUUGGUCCCUACUUUCAAUUCCUUUGCGCAUACACCUAGGAGCUGAACACGACUGAACUUUUAAGACAGAAUUUCCUCUCCGCUCUGGCAAAAUCACAGCCACAAAAGGAGAACGUGGAAUCUAGCACGCACCGAAGACAAGGCUGAUUUCGUUGCCUUGCCGCCCAGGACGACUUCUCCAAGGAUAACCUCCAGGCCGAUGGCUCAGGGCAGAGUGAGAUUAGGGCGCGGGCGUUGUCCUCCUGAAAUCGGAAAUUGUGAUGGGAUUCACAAUCCAUUUAAGAGCAUUCACCCUGGGACUUUGUAAUUUAAAAAAACGAUAGAAUUGACGUGGGAUAGAAAUUUAAACUUAAACAUUUCGAAUAACAACUUAAUCAUAUCCUAGAAUCUGGGACUGCCACACACCAAACAGAGGAUAAGAAAUGCAGAGCCAUGAACGUGCGUGCAGGGGCUGUGUCGCACCAGAAAGCCAGCAUUCUUGGUCCACAAGAUGGGAGCUCAUCUUUCAAAUUAAAUUUGGUAAGUAGGUUUAUGAUUAUAUUUUUCCCGAGGAAAUGUGAUUACUUUAAAAUAUUUAAUGUAUUUUUGAGGUGCAAAGACUGACAUACAGAUAUUAAAUAGAUCAAUAUUAACUAGAACAAAGAUUGAUAGCCAUGGAUCUUGUCCAACCGUCUCAUUUUACAGAUUAAAAAAUUUGAACUCAGAGAAGUCGAGAAAAUUACCCAAGUAGAUGUAAUUUCCAAUUCUCAUUCUUUACAUUAAUAUCAUGAUGCUGUGUUUAUUAUCCUAAAAUUAUCUCCAUCGUGUUUCAGAGAGAGGCUUUUCUCUCCCAUGUCAGGACUGGGAGGGCAUUGAGCAAAGCGCACCCAGGACUGGGCCAAGCAGGCCUCCUGUCGCCCCCGCUCGGGCGUCCUCUUUCCCCUGACAGGACUUCCCAGCCGUUCCUUCCCGGCGCCCUGGGUUUGCCGCGCCGGCUGGGGGGAGGCAGCUGCUGCUUCUCUAGCGGCAGGGCCUGGUAUGUGCGGUCUAGGGCCCCUGUCCUGUACUCCAGUCUCCUGUGUCCCCGGCCUCAGCUGCUGAUCUGGAAAUGAGUGGCAAUGAAUAACCAUUUCUUCAUCCGCCCAGGUAACAUCGUGGAAAGUUUACAAGUGUCUUACGGGAGAAAAUUUUAAACACAUGUGAAAGUAGGUGCGCUCGGGUGGCUCAGUCAGUUAAGCGUCCGACUUCGGCUCAGGUCAUGAUCUCAUGGUUCAUGAGUUCAAGCCCCCCACUGGGCUCUGUGCUGACAGCUCAGGGCCUGGAGCCUGCUUCCGACUCUGUGUCUCCCUCUCUCUCUGCCCUCCCCUGUUUGCUCUCUCUCUCUCUCUCUUUCUCAAAAAAUAAAUAAUAACAUCAAAACAAUUAAAGCAAAAUUACUUGACUCAUCAAAUAUCCAGGUUAGGGUUUGGAUUCCCUGCCUCGUAAUUUUUUACUUGGUUUGAGUCAGGAUUCAAAGUAUGUUCAUAGGUUGCAAUUUGUUGACAUGUCUCUGAAAUUUGUUUUAAUCUCUAGGUUCCCCCUCUAUUUCUCUCUUUUUCGAUGAUUCAUUCCCGAAGACACCAGGUCCUUUGUCCCACGGCCGCACGGCCAUACAAAAUGCAUCCCACUGUGGGGGGGGGUCACACAAGUCAGAUCUGGGGGCCUGGGCAGCUCCAGGGGCCACUGUCGGCAGGCCGCUUCCCCCGGGGGCGCCUCAGGAGGCUGGUCACACUGGUCGCCCUGUUGUCUCGUUCGCCGUCACCCACCAGCGCUGCCGGGUCCCUGACUCCACGAGGCUGUGCCAAGUGGAGCACUUCUGGCUCCCGGAUCCCAAUCUGCUCCCUCUUUAUUUACUAGUGACACAUUAGUGACACGCUUCUAUCAGGAGGGACUCCCCUCAUCGAUAUUUGGUAACCUGAUCCAAUAACGAAGGGAAAGGGGGACAAAUGCGCCAUUGGCUCUUUACCGUUAUCCACCAGCACUGAAAAUACUGCCCUGGGUCCUGCGCGUUCUCCCAAGGACCAGCUGUGUCUUCAGGAUCGGCUGGCCAUUGUCCCCGUCCCUUAGAGGCGUGCUCUGAGGGAUGCGCAAGGCCUGUCAUUCGUGUGGCCCGCACCUGAUGGCCCAUGCUAACGAGGGGGGUCGGGCCCCAGGGAAGACCCACGGCUUCCUCAGAGGGGUUUGUCCUGGGUCAGGGGAGCUGGAGAUUUAAGAAUCGGCCAUGGGGCACCUGGGUGGCGCAGUCGGUUAAGCGUCCGACUUCAGCCAGGUCACGAUCUCGCGCUCCGCGAGUUCGAGCCCCGCGUCGGGCUCUGUGCUGACGGCUCAGAGCCUGGAGCCUGUUUCUGAUUCUGUGUCUCCCUCUCUCUCUGCCCCUCCCCCGUUCAUGCUCUGUCUCUCUCUGUCCCAAAAAUAAAUAAACAUUGAAAAAAAAAAUUAAAAAAAAAAAAAAAAAAAAAGAAUCGGCCAUGCCCCGAGUACGGUCGCACUGGCAUGCCGGGAGGCUGACACAUCCGUGACGACAAGGAAGCGGCAUUUGAGACCUGCCCGGACCUCGCCCUGCGUGUCCCCCUUUGGCUCGUUCAGAUUUGUGUCCUUUAUAAGAAAAGUGUCGUUAUAAGUAUAGCUCUUUCCUGAGUUUUGUGAGUCUUUCCAGACGUUCUCAUUUAGUCUAAAUUGUGGAGCCCGAGGGUGGUCUGCAAUUUGUAGCCAGCUGGUCAGAAGUGAGGGUAGCCCCUGGGGACCCCAAACUUCCAACUGGCAUCCGGAGCAAGCGCAGGUUCGUGAGGGCAGUGCCCUUCACCUUGAGUUUGACUGACUGGGUACCAGUGAAGAUUUUUUAAGGUAUCGGUGAAAACACAGUUGAUGUGCUUUAAGCCACUGUAGCCACUGUUUUUCUGGACGCUCAGAUUGCCCGGCUUUGGCCAAAGGGGCAUGUGAGCCCCGGCUCCCACACCCGUCUGGAGUGACUCUUGCCAUCUGUGAUAGCUUUCGUGAUGACAAGACAUCCCAGGCUCAACUCAGAUGACCCCAGCCCCAUUUUUGAAAGAGCCCGUCUUAAUGUCUUUGACAGAAAUGCACUGCAGGCCUCACUGCAACCGGAAAUGUCUCUCUCUUUUAUUCUUCCUUGAAAUAUUUCAAACACAAGGAGAGAGGGUCUAGCAAGUACCCAUGUACACAUCACCUAGAUUUAAGAAAUAGUUCCCGCAUUUGUUUCAGACCCUUUUCCCUUGAAAUAAAUACAUACAUACAUACAUACAUACAUACAAGUGUCAGGUGUGAGAAGUAAGUCCUCCGACCCAAUCAAAGGAGGGACAAAGAGACUCGGAGCACGGGGAGGUGAGGCUUUAAUCAACCUUCUUGCGGGAGCGGGUGUCUGAUGGACAGGCACACUCGGGGUGGUUACAGCAGACCAUUUAUCUCCUAGCUCAUAAGUCCCUCCCCUGGUUCCUCAUUGGCUGAUAUUACACGGGUCACAGCCUCACCUGGAGAUCUCCUGUGCCCACGUAAGGCAAACAGUAGCCUGACUGGAACAAAUGAACAUUCCCUGAGGUGACACAGAGGCUCCAGGCCUUUGGCGCAUGCUGAUUGCAAAGUCCUCAAAAAAUAAGCUUGUGAAAUGGAGAGGGGAGGAAGAACCGGGAAGUGGGGUGUCUAAGGGUUUGGGACUCCGUUGUGGGGGUGGGGCGGGCUCGCUCUACUCCCGACAGGUCGUGAACCAAUUCUGACUAGACAGCACAGCUUUUAUUUGGUAUUUCUGAAAAUGAAUCGUCUCACUUACCUCUCACAUCCAGCGUUGUUGAAGUAGUCCUACGUGUCCCGGUGUCCCCCUCUCCCUGCUGCCCCACAGGGAACUCUCUUAAGCUCGAUGUGCCUUCCACGGCAUCCUGUCUCCCGUGUGUGUGUGGUGUGGCUCGGAACGCUCAUUCUUCCGAUUCUUUUGGGGUUUUUUUUAAAGUAAUAUGCGAACAUGGUUUUCAAAGUCAAAUUGCACUGCAAGGCUUUUAACAAAAGUAGGUCUCUUACAACUUAGCAGCAAAAAAAAAAAAAAAAAAUCACCAGAUUAAAAAAUUGACCAGAGUUAUUUCUCCAAAAGGGACACAAAUGGCUCACACAGGUUUAUGAGAAGGUGUUCACCAUCACUCAUCAUCGGGGAAACCCAAAUCAGAACCACAACGAGAUCUCACCUCCCGCCGUUAGGAUGGCUGUUAUCAGGAAAACAAAAGAUAGGUGUUGGCGAGGAUGCGGAGAAGAGGGAGGCCUCGUGUGCGGCCGGUGGGAAUGUAAAUUGGUGCGGCCACCGUGGAAAGCGGCGCGGAGGCUCCUCCAGAAAUAGGACUGCCACAUGAUGCAGCGCUUCCCCCUUCUGGGAAUUUAGCCAAAUGAAAUAAAAUCCGGAUCUCCCGGAGACGCCUGCACGCCCGCGUUCACAGCAACGUUGUUCACGACAGCCAGGGUGUGGAAGCAACCUGAGUGUCCUUCGGUGGAUGAGUGGGGAAAGAGAGCGUGCCGUGUGUCUCUCACAAGGGACGACCCAGCCUUUGAAAAACAGAAGGAAAUCUUGCCAUUUGUGGCAACAUGGCUGGGCACGAAGGACGUCGUGCGCAGAGAACUAAGCCGGUCGCAGAAGGACAAAUACGGCGUGAUUCCACCUGCGCGAGGAAUCCAGACUGGUCAAACCCAUCGAAGGACACAACGGUGUUGUAGGCAUUUCUCUGGAAGUGGUCGAAGGUGCUCCUGCAACGUGACGACCGACUACAGCACGCGUGAGCGUGGCAGUCGGCGUGUCUUUGAGAAGCUGUGAAGCGCGACACCGUGUGCUCACGCGGACGACGUCUUCCGUCUCUUCACAGACGCACCGACUGCAGUGAAGUCCGUGUGCGCUGAACGAAACGAAACAAAACAAAACGAAAAUCUCAUAGAAGCGGAGCGUGGCGCGGUGGUCGCCCAGGGCUGGAGAAAGGGGGGCGCGGGGAGUCACCGAGACAAAGGCGCAGCCGCUCGGCGAGAAUAAGUCCUACACAGACCGUACAGCAUGACGCCCGGAGUGAACAAUCCUCUGUCCUACACUUAAAGCUUGCCAAGAGGGUAGAUCUUAUAGGCGGUCUUAUCCCCAAAAACUAGAAUAAUUAUUAUCAUCGGUG
rnacentral:lncRNA from 1 species